rnacentral:rRNA from 1 species
AACGAACGCUGGCGGCAUGCCUAACACAUGCAAGUCGAACGAGAUCCUUCGGGGUCUAGUGCGCACGGGUGCGUAACGCGUGGGAAUCUGCCCUUAGGUUCGGAAUAACAGUUAGAAAUGACUGCUAAUACCGGAUGAUGACGUUAAGUCCAAAGAUUUAUCGCCUGAGGAUGAGCCCGCGUAGGAUUAGCUAGUUGGUGUGGUAAAGGCGCACCAAGGCGACGAUCCUUAGCUGGUCUGAGAGGAUGAUCAGCCACACUGGGACUGAGACACGGCCCAGACUCCUACGGGAGGCAGCAGUGGGGAAUAUUGGACAAUGGGCGCAAGCCUGAUCCAGCAAUGCCGCGUGAGUGAUGAAGGCCUUAGGGUUGUAAAGCUCUUUUACCCGAGAUGAUAAUGACAGUAUCGGGAGAAUAAGCCCCGGCUAACUCCGUG